rnacentral:tRNA from 1 species
GGUAUAGCUCAGUGGUACAGCACCUGUCUGACAAGCACAAGGUCAUGAGUUUGAUUCCCACUACC